GGGCUCCCGGCCUGGGCCUCCUGGGUCUCCGGGACGCACUGCCCAACGGAAAAGUUUUCAGCCCAGUCUGUGCCUCGCCGCCAAGCAGCCCUUGGGGCUUCUCAAAGUGGUAGAGAAAAUAGGACAGCUCUACAGGAUGCCCCAAAGAAAACCCUCAUUUGUCGACCAGGCGACCUUAGUGCUGGCGUGGGACUACAGCUGCGCAGCCAGCAAACCCCAGUUGGGGGAGGGGGAGAAGUGGCAGUAGAGUUCGCAUCUGGGGCUUGCUCUAAAGCGCUCUUUGACUGCUUUUGGAUUCCAUAUUUGAAGUUGAGAGUCGUAUUCCACCUGGUACAGGCAGUUCAGGGCAGGAGAAAAGCCAAGUGAACUCUGUGACUCAAUCCCCUUGGAAUGUGCCUGGAAUAAUAAUAGGGACUUGAAAGGGUUUUAUGGCCGAGGUGGCUAGUGGAGAGCAGUCUCCUACGCCUUGCAGUUGGCGGUCGGCCGAGGGGGGCAGUAUUGCCUUAUGCAGAGCUUCUGCGCCUGCAAACGGGACAAAAAUAGUCGGAGCAUCUGGUUUAAAUCAACCAAAAAGCAUUUCUAUCAGCUUAAUCCACCGGCCUACAGAACUGACAGAACAGGACAAGCCAAAUAUAUUCCCGGUACUCUUUUAACACUCCAAUAAUAGCUAAGCCCAAUCACACUUUACCGCUGGGAUUUCUGUGUCCUACCAUACAACUGUCGUUAUUUUAUAGAUGUUGCAAAUUAAACUUCCUUUUCUGGAGUUGUGUGUGGGCAUGUGCUUAAGCAGUUACAUUUGCAAGCAACGCUCGACUACGCUGCCCUUUUCGUUUUCCUUUUUCUUUCUCUCUUUUGGUAUGAGGUCUUAGAAUAGUCAAAAGUAUCUAAGGCCAACAUAUGGGUUGCUUACACCACUAAAUAUAUAGCUGCAUUUCCCUCUCUUAACGCCCUAAUCAGGAUUCCAAAGUGGCCGCUACCAAGUCCCGUUCUUGGAAAGUGGCCAACAGUCUGUCUGGUGGAGGGUGCUGCUAAUUAGAGAGAGCCCAUAAACCUCUCUGUCAAAGAGGGCAUGUGACCUUCUCUUCAAGUCUGAACAAUAAAGCCGGCGAACUGCAGACUGCACUCAACACUGGCUGCCCCGCGGAUUCCCUAAAUAGGAACAGGAUGAAGGCCAGGCUCAAGAGGUUACCAUAGCUCUGCUCCCACACUUUGAGGAAUCGGUCACUCCACUUCCCCAUAUAACUUGUUUCAAUUACUCUCUACAAUCUAUUUAGAGGAGAGCAGCUUGCAGAGAGCACUCAUUGUCUAAUCUAAAUGAGGAAGCAAUUAUUACUUGCUGCAGUCUAAUGUGCUUUGAGACUGGUGGGUCAAAGAGCAACCUGAUUUCUUGUAACGUGUCUUUGCACUUUGGAAGAUACACCUUUUUAAUGACAUUUAUUUACUCCUGCUUUUAGGACACAUUUUUCUUUCUAUUAAGAUUACAAAAUUAAGGUGUUUUUCCCCUUCUCAGUCUUCAAUGUCCUUUUUAAUUUUAGAAUUUAAGCUAUUGUAAACAC
rnacentral:lncRNA from 1 species